AUUGAACGCUGGCGGCAUGCCUUACACAUGCAAGUCGAACGGCAGCACGGGGCAACCUGGUGGCGAGUGGCGAACGGGUGAGUAAUGCAUCGGAACGUACCUUUCAGUGGGGGAUAACGUAGCGAAAGUUACGCUAAUACCGCAUAUUCUGUGAGCAGGAAAGCAGGGGAUCGCAAGACCUUGCGCUGAUUGAGCGGCCGAUGUCAGAUGAGCGAGUUGGGGAGGUAAAGGCUCACCAAGGCGACGAUCUGUAGCGGGUUUGAGAGGAUGGUCCGCCACACUGGAACUGAGACACGGUCCAGACUCCUACGGGAGGCAGCAGUGGGGAAUUUUGGACAAUGGGGGCAACCCUGAUCCAGCCAUGCCGCGUGAGUGAAGAAGGCCUUCGGGUUGUAAAGCUCUUUCGGCCGGGAAGAAAUCGCACGGGCUAAUACCCUGUGUGGAUGACGGUACCGGAAUAAGAAGCACCGGCUAACUACGUGCCAGCCGCCGCCGUAA
rnacentral:rRNA from 1 species